CGAACGGUAACAGGUCUUCGGAUGCUGACGAGUGGCGAACGGGUGAGUAAUACAUCGGAACGUGCCCAGUAAUGGGGGAUAGCUCGGCGAAAGCCGGAUUAAUACCGCAUACGCCCUGAGGGGGAAAGUGGGGGAUCGCAAGACCUCACGUUAUUGGAGCGGCCGAUGGCUGAUUAGCUAGUUGGUAGGGUAAAGGCCUACCAAGGCGACGAUCAGUAGCUGGUCUGAGAGGACGAUCAGCCACACUGGGACUGAGACACGGCCCAGACUCCUACGGGAGGCAGCAGUGGGGAAUUUUGGACAAUGGGGGAAACCCUGAUCCAGCAAUGCCGCGUGUGCGAAGAAGGCCUUCGGGUUGUAAAGCACUUUUGUCAGGGAAGAAAUCCUUUGGGCUAAUACCCUAGGGGGAUGACGGUACCUGAAGAAUAAGCACCGGCUAACUACGUGCCAGCAGCCGCGGUAAUACGUAGGGUGCAAGCGCUAAUCGGAAUUACUGGGCGUAAAGCGUGCGCAGGCGGUUGUGUAAGACAGGUGUGAAAUCCCCGGGCUUAACCUGGGAAUUGCAUUUGUGACUGCACGACUAGAGUGUGUCAGAGGGGGGUGGAAUUCCACGUGUAGCAGUGAAAUGCGUAGAUAUGUGGAGGAACACCAAUGGCGAAGGCAGCCCCCUGGGA
rnacentral:rRNA from 1 species